CUCAUACCUACAGUUAACCAACUUUACCUGACAGUUCUAAAUUUAAGACUGAUUUCUGUUUUUCUACAAAUAUCUUAACCGUUUUUAAUUUUUCCUUAAAAUCACGUUCCACAUAGCUUGGCGUAUACACCUGUUUCUCGCACAAUAUAUAAACGGGUUGCCAGACGCAUUCACAAACAAGAGCAGUUCGCCCCAGGCACAAAACACGUAAAUAGCAGACAACGUAUAGCCAUAUAUUAGCACGUACACCAAGUAAGCAACCAUAGGGAGACUGCAGAGCAACAUGAAACCAAUAACACAGCCGACAUUCUUCUCCGCCUUGCGCGAUUUUGCCACAGCGAGUCCUGGAAUAUUUUGCGAAAUGGAUAACCUUUCCGCAAAAAUAUUGUGCCGUUGUUUUCGUGCUUCGAGGAAUAUUUUCCAAUGUAUAACUGCAACUCCAAACAAGGCUACGACGAGUAAAAAACACAAAACCGAAU